rnacentral:rRNA from 1 species
GAUGAACGCUGGCGGCGUGCCUAAUACAUGCAAGUCGAGCGAACAGACGAGGAGCUUUCUCCUCUGACGUUAGCGGCGGACGGGUGAGUAACACGUGGAUAACCUACCUAUAAGACUGGGAUAACUUCGGGAAACCGGAGCUAAUACCGGAUAAUAUAUUGAACCGCAUGGUUCAAUAGUGAAAGACGGUUUUGCUGUCACUUAUAGAUGGAUCCGCGCCGCAUUAGCUAGUUGGUAAGGUAACGGCUUACCAAGGCAACGAUGCGUAGCCGACCUGAGAGGGUGAUCGGCCACACUGGAACUGAGACACGGUCCAGACUCCUACGGGAGGCAGCAGUAGGGAAUCUUCCGCAAUGGGCGAAAGCCUGACGGAGCAACGCCGCGUGAGUGAUGAAGGUCUUCGGAUCGUAAAACUCUGUUAUUAGGGAAGAACAAAUGUGUAAGUACCUAUGCACGUCUUGACGGUACCUAAUCAGAAAGCCACGGCUAACUACGUG